GGGUAAAGAUAUGUAUAUGUAUAUGAGUAAAUGAGAGGUUAUAUUUUUCCUGUACUUUUAUCUAUCAAAACAUUGUCAGAAGCAGCUCAAAACGGAAAGUUUCUUAAGAAAUGGCAAAAUCAAAAGCACAAACACUUCAAACCAAUGAAAAAAUAACUGCCAUAUUCCAGGAGCGCUUUUUGUACCUUCCUUCGUAACGAAUGCUUUAACCGAAACAUUUUAUAUCCAGUGCUGCGUAGAUACACUGAAACAUUAUAAGCUCUAUCUAUCUGACCAACAAGGACCUCGAGGAAAUAGCUUUUAAAUCUAGCGUUAACAUGCCCUGAGUAGGUUGAAACCUAUGUCUCUAAAUAAACAUUAAGAUCAAAAAUCAAUGAACAGAAUUUAAAUAAAGUAAUUGAAUAAUUCCGUAUCCAUUAAUUACUGUUUACUCUUGAUGAUGGAAGGAAACUUCUUCUUUUUUAUGAAAUUUCAACGUCAUUUUGGGACAAAAUUAACGUUUUAAGCUAUAAACUGAAACAUAACUAUUCUUCUAAAAAUGCUAUGAAUUCUUUGAGUGUUUUAUUUUUAAAACAAAGGGAUUGAUUGACCCAAGGAACAUCCGACCUGAAUUUGAAAGUAAUAGUUUAAAGGUUGGGAACCAGAAUAAAAAUUGAUAGAUGCUGGAGGGGAGCCAAACAUGAGCAUUCAAUUUCAAAUAAUAGAUAGAAUUAAGAAUGGAAAUGGGAAAUGUGUCAAAGAGACAACAACCCGAUCAUAGAGCAGACAACAGCCGAAGGCCACAUACAGAUAGUAUAGUUUGGCCUGGCCAAAAAAAGUAAAGCAGUUGUACUAUAAUUUAAAAAAAAGAGCUGUUACUUGUAUAUAUUAGAAUUUAUUUCUGCUAUAGGAAUAAUAUUUAAGGUGGUAUGGGUGUCUAAAUUAAAAAUGAUAGAAUUUGUUCAUACUUUGCCAAAACGUAGUAUAUAUUGAUAUAGGCUAAAAAAUAUGACAAAAUGAUGGGUCACCGUGCAUUUUCUCAAGCUACAGGUUGUGACAAAAUGACAAAUUGUGUAUGGAUUAUACAGGAAAAAAGCACCAUUAUAGGGUUAGAAACUAAAAUAAAUGAUAGAAUUGUAAAAUAAAUUACGAGAAGAUAACCUUUUCAAUAUGCUUUGAGAAUAUCAAAAGAAAACAUAGGGCCACCAUACGUUUUUCCCGGCUAAAAUACAAAAUAGGAAAAUUCCAUGUAGAUUCCUUCUGAAAAUUCACUGUUUCAGAGUUACUUCCCCUUAAAAUGCCAUUUUAAAAAUAUUAAAAAUCAAGCAAAAAUAAUCUACACUUGUAAAAAUAUUAAUAUUGAUACGUUAUAUUCUUAUAAAUUUGUUCUUUUAAAUAAAAUUCACAUUAGUUAUCUGCACUCCUGCAUCAAAUUUUGAUAAUUUGAUUGAAAAUCUAGACCUUAGGUUCUCUGUUUUUUUUUACAAUCCAAGAUGGCGAAAGACACCCAUACCACCUUAAAGACACAUCUGGGUUAAUACAUAAUCCAGAUAUAAAAUAUUUUUCAAAUUUGUAUCAGCUAAAUAUUAUUGAAAAUGUUAUAUACAGUAGUUUUCAUGAAAUAUCAAUAUUAACAAAUAUAUGUGAAUGGUUAUAGAUAUGUAUAAAUAUGAGUAAAUGAGAGGU
rnacentral:lncRNA from 1 species